ACCGCCUCCCUGCUGCUGUGCCCCGCCUCCUGGAGGCCGAGGCAGGCGGGGAUGCCACCUGGGCUCGGAACUAGAACGAAGACACUGAGGCAGAGAGCAGCUAAAUAACUUGAGGCCACAGCUGGUAAGCUGUCAAAGACAGGGCUGAAUACUAGGCUGUCGUGGUGUCUGUCCUUCAGAUCCUUUGGAAUUGAAAACUCCUCCUACAGAUGUUAAUUAAUCACUUCUUUGUGUCAUUCUCCCCCUAUCCACUUCCACUUAGAUUUUGAUGGAUUGAGGGCUUCUAGUAUGAAACAAGAGCGGAAUUUCCUAAUGAGAUAGUAGCCACAUUAUCAAUCAAAAAUGUUAAUUCAAAAAUACCGCCUCUCCCUCCAAUCUCGUCACUUGUCUGCCCAGAAGUUCAUAGACCACUACCCAUUCUGGCUUUUUUUUUUUUGGCUUUUUAGGGUCAUGAUCAAAGCAUAUGGAAGUUCCCAGGCUAGGGGCCACAGCAACGCAGGAUCCGAGCAGAGUCUCGACCUACACCACAGCUCACGGCAACACCAGAUCCUUAACCACUGAGCAAGGACAGGGACCAAACCCGAAACCUCAUGGUUCCUAGUUGGAUUUGUUUCUUUUGCACCACAAUACCCAUUCUGUUAUGAUGGCCUAAUAAGCUACAGUCAGACUUGAUAAGCUCUCCAGUGGCCUGGGAACAGGACUAAUUAAACAGCAAUAAAGGGGCUAUUUUCCAAAUUGAGCUAUCUCACUAUUCAAGAAAAAAUUAAUGGGAAUAAGGAGGUACUAAGAUGCAAGGGAGGGUGUGUUUCUGAUUCAAUAACAUAUUCCUUUUCCUCCAAAUUUCUAGUAUCAGAGAAAUAGCAAAAGAAAAAAAAAAAAAAGAAGCAACACUCCAAUACACUUUUUUUUUCUCCUUUUUUACUUACAUUAAAUACAUCGGUAAAUCAGCAGUUGCAUUCUGUUACCACGAUUGUUAUGUUGGGAGAGGAAGAAAGGGAAAAAAGGCAAAUGCUUUUUUUAGAAGCAAAAAAAAAAACAAACAGAAAAAAAACCACCAACCUCCCCCCCACCCCGCCCCUUAAAAAAAAACCAACUGAUCAGAAGAAAAAAAUUAAGAGCUGGGAAAUAAAAAAAACUAAGGUUCCCCAAGCCCCAAAGAGCUCAAAGGAAAGCAGAAGAGUUGAGAGGAAGUGGACAAAAGGCAGCAGAUAGGCCCAGAAGCUAAGGCCAAUCCUGUUCCUAAGGGGGGCAGGGGAGGGGAGAAGAGGCCUGGAGAAAUGGUUUCCCAACCCCAAGGCAAUGAAACAUCUUCACUCCUGCUCCAUGGGGAAAGCUGUACAGAGAAAGGACUUCAUUUCUAAGAGACUUAAAAGAGCCAUCCUAAGUUCUUCCACUUGUAAGGAUGCACCGGGUACUUCUGGGGGCUAGUGGGUGCUGGGAAAAGAAGGGGGAAAUGCAUGUGUGUUUCAGGGCCACGGGAACUAAGGCUGCCCCUGGAAAAGGAAGGGAAUUGAGGCCUAAGUGGAAGAACCUAAGCUGGGUCCUUCAGAAUCUCAGCUUCAUGGAUUUCUGAGCUGCUCUGGGACAGAAGGCAGUCUGCACGCCAAAAGGGCAGAAAGGUUCCAAUCCUAGGUUACUAUGGCCUCGUCUAUCUUAUUUCUCCCAAAUUCUGGGCUAGAACAAGAAGGAGUUUAGAGUUGUCUCUUGCCUUGAUGGCUUCCCAAAGACAUCAUAAAAUACCUGAUGAGGGAUAUGAAGAGAGGCUAGAGAUUAAGAAAGGACCAACGUCCUCUGGUGAUACGGGACAACUGUGAGGGACCUUCAGUGCCAGUCAUUCCCUGUCCACAGGAACAGGUGUUAUGAUAUGAGGGGGCCACAAGUAGGCUUCUGUAGAACUACAUGCUAGUGGUAUGUGGAUUAAACCACUGGUUGCAUGGGGUGGGUUUGGGGAUAAGCAUGAAGGGACCAAACUAAAGAUACUAAUAAAGGACAAAAUAGG